rnacentral:tRNA from 1 species
UGGGUUGUGGCCCAAUGGUAGAGCACUCGCCUCGCAUGUGUGAGGCACUGAGUUCAAUCCUCAGCACCACAU